AUGCCAUGGUGUGGACACUUCACCAACAUACCCUUAAACCUCUCCCAAGUUUCUUUCAACGUUUCAGUUUGUUUUUGCUUGAACUACAAUAUCUCAUCAAUUUGCCU
rfam:Nicotiana sylvestris Nsyl_contig33305, whole genome shotgun sequence.